GGGGGUGUACUGGUUUCGACUGAAGGUCUGAGGGCCUGACAGCAUGCCGAGGUUGAACGGCUGGCCUCGUAAAAAGCCGCUCAAAAAACAAAUGCAAAUAACGAACCUGAACUUGCCCUGGCAGCCUAAUUGAGUUGCCACGUGAUCCGGCCGACGCCUGCUGAGCCGGAUCGCGACACUUCGCAGGCUGGUCUCGCCGCGGGGGUCCGGCGGAGGAGACGAGAGGUUACAGUGAUCAUCGGAGGGAGCGGAUUCUGUCUGUCGAAGCCACCUCUCCUAAAUCAAAAGACCGACUAAGCAUGUAGACGUCAGGUGCAAUGGUCUUUAGGACAGGGGUUCAACUCCCCUCACCUCCAGCU
rnacentral:tmRNA from 1 species